UUAAGCUGCUUCAGAUGAUUAAGGAGAUAAUCAACGAAUGGGAACAUUUCAAAGAAAGAAGACUUCAGACUGAAAAGGAUAAGGGAGAAGGAGAUGAUGACGAUCUUAUAGCAAAACUGCCACCGGCAUCUUCAAAUAAAGAAAAGACACCUCAACAGGAGUUAACAGUGAACGCACUUCUAAAGGAAUGUGAAGAACUAAAGGCUGAAAAAGACAAGUGGAAACAAAAGGUAGUAAAACUCAGAGCCUACAAGAUAAUGCAUAUGGCAGAAGAGUCUGAAAUGGAAAAGUAUAAAUUGAAGUUUGAAGCAACUGCAAAGGAUGUCGCAGACAAAGUCAAACUACUUGACUUAUAUUUACAGACACAAAGCAUCUCAAGAAAUCCUGGAGCGUUAACAUGUACUCGUAAUGCUACAAUAGGAAGUCAUUUGGAACUCAGAACUCCUCUUUCGCAAACUACUCAAGAUGAUAUCACAAAGUGUAUUAGAAAUAUACAAGAAGAAUUGUAAUGCUGGAACUUAUUGGAAAGGAAAUGAACUUUAUAAGUCAAAUGGAGAAUCAGAGAAGACAUAUUUAACUCAGUAAUUAGCCUCUAAACUUAAAACAUAAUUACUGUUGUGCCAGGUUCAUGAGCUUAGUGGGGCGUGAAAGCUCACUAAAUAGUAUAACUUUGUCAAAUGAUGUGAGUAAAUAAAUUUACCAUUCAAAUGUU